rnacentral:rRNA from 1 species
GAUGAACGCUGGCGGCGUGCCUAACACAUGCAAGUCGAGCGAACAGACCAGGAGUUUGCUCCUCUGACGUUAGCGGCGGACGGGAGAGUAACAUGUGGACAACCUACCUAUAAGACUGGGAUAACUUCGGGAAACCGGCGCUAAUACCGGAUAAUAUAUUGAACUGCAUGGUUCAAUAGUGUAAGACGGUUUUUCUGUCACUUAUAGACGGAACCACGCCGCAUUAGCUAGUUGGUAAGGUAACGGCUUACCAAGGCGACGAUGCGUAGCCGACCUAAGAGGGUGAUCGGCAGCUGGGGAGAUGAGACGCGGACCAGAAGCGGGAGUGAGACAGGGGUAGAGAUUCUACGGCAAGGGGCGGAGGGCUGUCGGAGCAACGCGGCGAGAGUGAGGAAGGUCCACGGAGCGUGAAACACUGUUAUUAGAGAAGAGCAAAUGUCUAAGUAACGAGGCGAGUCUUAACGGUACCGAAGCAGAAGGCCACGCUUAACUACGU